rnacentral:rRNA from 1 species
UGCAGUCGAGCGGAUGACGGGAGCUUGCUCCUUGAUUCAGCGGCGGACGGGUGAGUAAUGCCUAGGAAUCUGCCUGGUAGUGGGGGACAACGUUUCGAAAGGAACGCUAAUACCGCAUACGUCCUACGGGAGAAAGCAGGGGACCUUCGGGCCUUGCGCUAUCAGAUGAGCCUAGGUCGGAUUAGCUAGUAGGUGAGGUAAUGGCUCACCUAGGCGACGAUCCGUAACUGGUCUGAGAGGAUGAUCAGUCACACUGGAACUGAGACACGGUCCAGACUCCUACGGGAGGCAGCAGUGGGGAAUAUUGGACAAUGGGCGAAAGCCUGAUCCAGCCAUGCCGCGUGUGUGAAGAAGGUCUUCGGAUUGUAAAGCACUUUAAGUUGGGAGGAAGGGCAGUAAGCUAAUACCUUGCUGUUUUGACGUUACCGACAGAAUAAGCACCGGCUAACUCUGUGCCAGCAGCCGCGGUAAUACAGAGGGUGCAAGCGUUAAUCGGAAUUACUGGGCGUAAAGCGCGCGUAGGUGGUUCGUUAAGUUGGAUGUGAUAGCCCCGGGCUCAACCUGGGAACUGCAUCCAAAACUGGCGAGCUAGAGUAUGGUAGAGGGUGGUGGAAUUUCCUGUGUAGCGGUGAAAUGCGUAGAUAUAGGAAGGAACACCAGUGGCGAAGGCGACCACCUGGACUGAUACUGACACUGAGGUGCGAAAGCGUGG